AAUCAAACACUAAAAAUGCUAUCCUGCAAAAGAGGAGCUUCUCUUUGGUUCUGUUGUUAAAUAGCAUUUAAAUUCAAAUCACCGCAUUUGUUGCUGUUUUAGAAGAGCACGAGUCUUCCCUGGUGCAAGACUGAAACAAUGUUUGCAGAUAAGAAUAUUCUGUACAAACCCCAGGGUGAUAACAUUCCACUAUUACAACAGUAAAGGUGGUACAUGAAGGCAUCAUUUUUAAAUUGCACACACUCCUCAAAGAUUGUUUGAAGGCUUAAGCAAAAAUUGGAUUAGUUGUAUUUACUUUGUUUAGGAGUAUUUCUACUGAUCUAUAGAUCUCUAAUGUAUGGUAUGACAGAAUUUGAUAGUUGACCCUGCAUGUUUUGAGAAAGCAGACUUGCUGUUUCUCUCUUUACUGUCUACUGCAGCAACAUUGUUUCAGAAAAUGCACCGGGCUGAUCGAGCAAAAAUGUAAAGUAAGUGACUGACUACUGUUACAACUAAUACUUUGGCCGAAUGGCUGUUUGGUUUUGUGCAUGCAAAGUUUUUCUUUUACAACAGAGACUUUUACCUCUUUGUUUUUGAAAAUUCGUUCCUCACAUUCUUUCUCCCUGCACAGCUUCUGAUUGAUGGCAUACUGGGAACGUUAGUGAUCUUUCUGGUGCUGGAACUGCUGAUCUGCAUUACCACUAUGCUGUUUGAACUCAGUGUCUUAGCUGCAGGUGGCAAACAGCGGACUUCAAGCCAUAGACCCACCUACCCACAGACUCGCCCCCCAGCAGCUCCAGCCGUGCAAGUUGUUCAGACCACGGUGGCAGAAGCUGAGCCAUCCCAGGUACCACAUGUUCACGGGGGUCUCCACUGAAACAAACUACACAGAAACAGUACUAUACUCACUUUGCUUUACACGUUUUGGCUGCUCAAGGUGCACCCUUAAAUUAAAAAUCUACACCUGAAUUGAGUUAAAGCAGGUGAGAGCUUCUCAUCUAAAAAUGUUUAAGAUGCUUUUUGUUGGGAUUUAUGAUAAUAACAACAAUAAUCUUUAUUUUAUUAGGAAAAAGGUUCGUCUCAUGUACUCAUGGCUUGGCUCUGUUGUGAGGAAACAGCAUAUUUAGAAUCCAUUCAUUCAAUAAGCCAGGUCAGCCACGAAAACAAAAUUCCUUUAAAAAACAUGUUAAAAUCCAAGGAUAGAUGUAGCAAAUGAGUCCCGCGCUUCAUCUAUGCUUUUAUUUUACCAAAAUUUAGAGUAACGUCACUCCCAGCUCCAAACAGGUCAAUCCCAGUUAAAGGUAGACAAGUCAAACUCCAGUCUUUGAGAACAUUCUGCUUUUUUAUUUUC
rnacentral:lncRNA from 1 species